UACGUAGGGGGCGAGCGUUGUCCGGAAUUACUGGGCGUAAAGGGUGCGUAGGUGGCCUUUUAAGUUGGAUGUGAAAUACCCGGGCUUAACUUGGGGGGUGCAUCUAAUACUGGAGGGCUAGAGUGCAGGAGAGGAAAGCGGAAUUCCUAGUGUAGCGGUGAAAUGCGUAGAUAUUAGGAGGAACACCAGUGGCGAAGGCGGCUUUCUGGACUGUAACUGACACUGAGGCACGAAAGCGUGGGGAGCAAACAGG
rnacentral:rRNA from 1 species